CCAGACUCCUACGGGAGGCAGCAGUGAGGAAUAUUGGUCAAUGGGCGCGAGCCUGAACCAGCCAAGUCGCGUGAGGGAUGACGGCCCUACGGGUUGUAAACCUCUUUUGUCGGGGAGCAAAGAGAGUCACGUGUGGCUCAUUGAGAGUACCCGAAGAAAAAGCAUCGGCUAACUCCGUGCCAGCAGCCGCGGUAAUACGGAGGAUGCGAGCGUUAUCCGGAUUUAUUGGGUUUAAAGGGUGCGCAGGCGGAAUGUCAAGUCAGCGGUAAAAUUUCGGGGCUCAACCCCGUCGUGCCGUUGAAACUGGCGUUCUUGAGUGAGCGAGAAGUAUGCGGAAUGCGUGGUGUAGCGGUGAAAUGCAUAGAUAUCACGCAGAACUCCGAUUGCGAAGGCAGCAUACCGGCGCCCGACUGACGCUGAGGCACGAAAGCGUGGGUAUCGAACAGGAUUAGAUACCCGUGUA
rnacentral:rRNA from 1 species